CUUCCGUAAGGGGUACCUGCGGAAGGAUCAUUACCUAGAGUUGUAGGCUUUGCCUGCUAUCUCUUACCCAUGUCUUUUGAGUACCUUACGUUUCCUCGGUGGGUUCGCCCACCGAUUGGACAAAUUUAAACCCUUUGCAGUUGAAAUCAGCGUCUGAAAAAACUUAAUAGUUACAACUUUCAACAACGGAUCUCUUGGUUCUGGCAUCGAUGAAGAACGCAGCGAAAUGCGAUAAGUAGUGUGAAUUGCAGAAUUCAGUGAAUCAUCGAAUCUUUGAACGCACAUUGCGCCCCUUGGUAUUCCAUGGGGCAUGCCUGUUCGAGCGUCAUUUGUACCUUCAAGCUCUGCUUGGUGUUGGGUGUUUGUCUCCUGUAGACUCGCCUUAAAACAAUUGGCAGCCGGCGUAUUGAUUUCGGAGCGCAGUACAUCUCGCGCUUUGCACUCAUAACGACGACAUCCAAAAGUACAUUUUUACACUCUUGACCUCGGAUCAGGUAGGGAUACCCGCUGAACUUAAGCAUAUCAAAAGCCGGGAGGAAGG
rnacentral:rRNA from 1 species